GCCUCGGGUUCCUGCAUCGGGCCUGAGCAGAACUAGGCGCGCCGCGGCCCGGCACGCGCAGGCGUACAGAGCUCCCCGGGGGUGCCAGUUCCUCUCCGAUUCCCGGCUUCUGUCACCUUCCUCACGGACCUUGGUCACGGCCGCAGGUGACCCCUUAGCCCAGCUCCAGUGGGCGGGUGGCAGGGUCAUGGAGGACGCUGGCGGCGGCGAGGAGACCCCGGCCCCGGAGGCCCCGCACCCCCCUCAGCUCGCGCCUCCGGAGGAGCAGGGGUUGCUCUUCCAGGAGGAAACCAUCGAUCUUGGCGGAGAUGAGUUUGGAUCCGAAGAGAACGAGACCGCAUCGGAAGGCUCGAGUCCUCUCGCGGACAAGCUGAACGAACACAUGAUGGAGAGCGUCCUCAUCUCUGACUCCCCCAACAGCGAGGGCGACGCGGGCGACCUGGGCCGAGUGCGGGACGAAGCUGAGCCCGGAGGGGAAGGCGACCCAGGCCCGGAGCCCGCGGGCACCCCGAGUCCCAGCGGCGAGGCCGACGGCGACUGUGCCCCCGAGGACGCGGCACCCAGUAGCGGAGGGGCCCCGAGGCAGGACGCGGCCCGCGAGGUCCCAGGCAGCGAAGCCGCGCGCCCGGAGCAGGAGCCUCCCGUUGCGGAGCCGGUCCCGGUGUGCACCAUCUUCAGCCAGCGCGCGCCCCCAGCCUCCGGGGACGGCUUCGAGCCGCAGAUGGUGAAGUCGCCCAGCUUCGGUGGCGCCAGCGAGGCCUCGGCCAGGACACCGCCCCAGGUCGUGCAGCCCAGCCCCAGCCUCAGCACGUUCUUCGGAGACACGGCCGCCAGCCACUCCUUGGCCUCGGACUUCUUCGACUCCUUUACUACCUCCGCCUUCAUUUCCGUCAGCAAUCCCGGCGCGGGCUCCCCGGCCCCCGCCAGCCCGCCUCCCCUCGCUGUGCCCGGGACCGAGGGGCGCCCCGAACCCGUGGCCAUGCGAGGGCCCCAGGCAGCUGCGCCCCCGGCGUCGCCAGAGCCUUUCGCGCACAUCCAGGCAGUGUUUGCAGGGAGUGACGACCCCUUUGCCACCGCCCUGAGCAUGAGCGAGAUGGACCGGAGGAACGACGCCUGGCUUCCCGGCGAGGCUACGCGUGGAGUCCUGCGGGCCGUGGCCACCCAGCAGCGCGGCGCCGUGUUCGUGGACAAGGAGAACCUCACCAUGCCGGGCCUCAGGUUCGACAACAUCCAGGGAGAUGCAGUUAAAGACUUGAUGCUUCGCUUUCUGGGUGAAAAAGCUGCAGCAAAGAGACAAGUCCUAAAUGCCGACUCAGUGGAACAAUCUUUUGUUGGAUUGAAACAGCUAAUCAGCUGCAGAAACUGGAGGGCAGCAGUGGACCUGUGCGGACGUCUCCUCACAGCCCACGGCCAGGGCUACGGCAAGAGCGGGCUGCUCACCAGCCACACGACAGAUUCACUGCAGCUCUGGUUUGUCAGGCUGGCACUACUAGUGAAGUUGGGCCUUUUCCAGAAUGCUGAGAUGGAAUUUGAACCCUUCGGAAAUCUUGAUCAGCCAGAUCUUUAUUACGAGUACUACCCGCACGUGUACCCUGGGCGCAGGGGCUCCAUGGUCCCCUUCUCGAUGCGCAUCUUGCACGCGGAGCUUCAGCAGUACCUGGGGAACCCACAGGAGUCGCUGGAUAGACUGCACAAGGUGAAGACUGUCUGCAGCAAGAUCCUGGCCAAUUUGGAGCAAGGCUUAGCAGAAGACGGCGGCAUGAGCAGCGUGACUCAGGAGGGCAGACAAGCCUCUAUCCGGCUGUGGAGGUCACGUCUGGGCCGGGUGAUGUACUCCAUGGCAAACUGUCUGCUCCUGAUGAAGGAUUAUGUGCUGGCCGUGGAGGCGUAUCAUUCGGUUAUCAAGUAUUACCCAGAGCAAGAGCCCCAGCUGCUCAGCGGCAUCGGCCGGAUUUCCCUGCAGGCGGAGCACAGGGCAGCUUCUGCCCCUCUCACCCUCAGUCUUAGGUCACGUCCCAAACCUGGGCCAGGGAAAGGAGGCACGAGCAAGGGAUGGCUGAGCGGGGAGAAGCAGCACAGACCUUCCACAGGCACCCACUCACGGUGAGCCAGGCCCUGCGCUGAGCAUUUCACCUCACGGUGUGACUGGCUUGUUUUACAGAUCAGCAAACUGAGGUCUCCUGGUUAAGUGAUAUCCAGCUACAGGAGGCCACAUAGAUAAUGGGGAAGCUAGAAUUUGAACAGGGCCUCUGUGAACUCAGGGCCUGCACUCUCAGCUAACAGCUGGUCCUCUCCCCCUCCACACAGUUGCUCACACAUGCACUGACACACGUAGGCACACGUGCACACACCAUCUCCUGCACGCCGCCUGCUUGUGGAAGUCCACAUGGGACACCAGAUAGUGUUGGAGGACAGCCCUGUCCAUGGGCCCCUGUGGUGGGGCACAGCAGAUGACUGUCACUGAAUAACCCCAGGCAGGCACAGAUGCGUGACGCGUGAGCUGCCACCAUGGGCAUCGGCUCCUGCCUGCACUGGGAUGCUUGCAGCAACCCUCGUUACCUGUGUGAGAAAGCUCUGUGUGGCCAGGAUCUCCAGGCUGCCUCAUGUGUAACAUUAUCCCCUGGUUAUCAUAGUAAAAUAGUACGCUGGGCCUGCUCAGAUUCCUCACUACCCUGGAGACAAUCUCGGAAAUUUUAUUUCAGAGUCAUAUUUUGCACAAUUUGAGAAGUAGAUGCUGAAUUGCUUUUGCGUCUGGAAGUGCUUCUCCUUCCAGGGGGAGCCACUGGCUUGACCACAGCGAGGGCUCUGGCAAUGAGGCUGGAGUCUCAGGAGGGAGGCUCAGCUUCCACAGUGUGAUUUAAGCCCCAUCUGGCGCACAGAAUGUGCUAACCAGGCUGCAAGGGAAGCCCUCGGUGUUCGCUUUUCUGAGGACACGGGGAGGUGAUAGCGGCGCUGUGGGCAAGAGCUUUUGCCAAAGGAGAAUGGAGAAAAAGACGGAAGCACCCAGGCCGACUGGACUCACCGACGCCCCACACAAGUGCCUCGAUCUGCAUCUCUUGCAAAUUAUUUAUCAGGCCUCGCUCAUGGGUAUUUUUACUGUUGCUGAAGAGCAAGGUCUCUGAAUUCUGUUUUUCUAAAGGAAAUGGAGAUUGCAAUACCUAGCUAUUUGGGAUAUCUCUGAAGACGUUGUGACGUGGCUGCUACAGAACUUCUCAGACAGCCUCGCGCAGCUGACGACUGCAUUGCCAUCUGCACAUACAGAAAACCCAGCCCCAGUAAGUUCCGGCUUGGGCAGGUCAGUGUGUUGUCUGAAGAUGCUGGAUCUGGGAAGAAGGAUGAAGCAGGCAGGUUUUGCCCUUGAAGAACACAGCCAUUUGUGGGAGUCAAGGCCCGAGAGCACCGUUGUGAUCAGCAAGAACGACCACAUAUCAGCCCAGUGGAUGCCCGAGCACACAGCAGACCCCCACCCAGUUCUGAAACACUCCUGGGUGCACCUGGACCCGCCCUCUCCAGACCUCUCCUGUGUUGGGACCUCUCCUCAUCUCCGCUGGGUUCAGCAGAGGGUUGCAGAGGCGGGACCCUGUGUGUACACGUGGUGCUGAGCUGCCAGAGAUCUCAGCACGUCCCUCGUCCCCCGUCCUGCGCGUAGCUGCCAUUAGCCUUCCGGGAGUACACUCCACCCUGCCGUCUCUGGUCAGAGGUCCUGCUAGGGCCUUGUGGCCUGUCAGGUGAGCCCACACUUAAAGCUCACAUUCAGAGCCCUAGCUAACCUUUUCCAGCCCAGUGUUCUUCGCCUCAUGUCCUUAGUCCCACCAGACAGUUGAUUUGCUGUUGCCCAAACGGGACCACACUUGCUGCUUUGACCUCUCGUGGGCUGUUCCUGCUGCUCAGAACUCCCUUCUCUUUCUGCUUGUGCAAACCCUGCCCAUUCUUGAGGGCUCACUGGAAGGACUUCUCUAAAGUCACCCCAGCCCUCUCAGCAAGCUCUCCCUUCCCUCUUCCCCAAGGCAUCUACGGGGGAUAAAAGCACAGGGCUCAGGAGCUGGGGUUUGGAACAAGACAGACCCCGACCCUGGUCCAGCUGCUCAGGCUGGCGUGGCUCUGAGCAGUUUAUCUCACCUUCAUGGUGUCAGUCCCCCCAUACAACCGCCUGCCGUGAGCAGUCAUCAUCGUCGUGUGUAGAUGAUAAAGUUUAUCCAUGUGAAAUCCUCUGUGUCCUGCCUGGGACAUGCCAGGAGCGCUGUAAGCGUAACUUGCUGUCUUUCCUAUGUCUUGAGGAUGGGUUGUGUUUGUUCCGUUCCUCACAGAUCCAAGUGUAAGGGCGGCAUUCCCAGGUCUCAGCAAAAGUACGUGUGCUCAGAAUUGCCCUUGGAAGCCCCACUCCCACGGCGGGGCAGCCACCCCAUAGAGUGACUCCAGUGCACACGUGGGCACGAGGCCCUCCAGGAUGGGCUGUAGGAAGGGGCAAAAGCCGUGUCCCCACGCACGUAUCCGGACACUCACACCCCACGCGCCAGCCUCAGAGCUCCUGCUGGCGCACCCUGCUCACCCCCAAUGCCGCAUCUCAGCACGGGAUGGAGGACGCCACACGGAGUCAGAUUGCAGUCGAUGAGAGAUUGGAGACAUAAAAACAGCUGAAAAGUAUUUUCAAGACGUUGAGAAAGUAACACAGAAAUUAGAUGGACUACAGGG